UACGUAGGGUGCAAGCGUUAAUCGGAAUUACUGGGCGUAAAGCGUGCGCAGGCGGUUGUGCAAGACCGAUGUGAAAUCCCCGGGCUUAACCUGGGAAUGGCAUUGGUGACUGCACGGCUAGAGUGUGUCAGAGGGGGGUAGAAUUCCACGUGUAGCAGUGAAAUGCGUAGAGAUGUGGAGGAAUACCGAUGGCGAAGGCAGCGCCCUGGGAUAACACUGACGCUCAUGCACGAAAGCGUGGGGAGCAAACAGG
rnacentral:rRNA from 1 species